rnacentral:rRNA from 1 species
GAUGAACGCUUGCGGCACGCCUAAAACAUGCAAGUCGAACGAACCGUUCUUCGGAUCGGUUAGUGGCAAACGGGUGAGUAACACGUGAGUGACCUGCCCUGAAGUGGGGGAUAACUACUCGAAAGGGUGGCUAAUACCGCAUAUGCUUGGCGAUUCGGUUCGCUUAGCAAAGCCGAAAGGCGCUUUGGGAGGGGCUCGCGGCCGAUUAGCUUGUUGGUGAGGUAACGGCUCACCAAGGCUUUGAUCGGUAGCUGGUCUGAGAGGAUGAUCAGCCACACUGGCACUGAGACACGGGCCAGACUCCUACGGGUGGCUG